CCUUACGAUUAACAACAUCGAAUGAAGUGAAACGGAAUGAGAUGUUGGUCAAGCAACCCGAACGUUGAGUCGGAAAGUAAUCGAAGAGAGGAUUAUUAGUGAUACGCCUGUUGGGUAGGGGAGCGUUCUGUAAGCGGAUGAAGGUGAAUCGAGAGGUUUGCUGGACGUAUCAGAAGUGCGAAUGCUGACAUAAGUAACGAUAAAACGAGUGAAAAACUCGUUCGCCGGAAGACCAAGGGUUCCUGUCCAACGUUAAUCGGGGCAGGGUGAGUCGGCCCCUAAGGCGAGGCUGAAAAGCGU
rnacentral:rRNA from 1 species